UACGUAGGGGGCUAGCGUUGUCCGGAAUCAUUGGGCGUAAAGCGCGUGUAGGCGGCUUGGUAAGUCCGUUCUGAAAGCCCGGGGCUCAACCCCGGGAGGCGGAUGGAUACUGUCAAGCUCGAGUCCGGAAGAGGCAAGUGGAAUUCCCGGUGUAGCGGUGAAAUGCGCAGAUAUCGGGAGGAACACCAGUGGCGAAGGCGACUACCUGGCCUGUUCUUGACGCUGAGGCGCGAAAGCUAGGGGAGCAAACGGG
rnacentral:rRNA from 1 species